UUGAACGCUGGCGGCAGGCCUAACACAUGCAAGUCGAACGGUAACAGGAAGCAGCUUGCUGCUUCGCUGACGAGUGGCGGACGGGUGAGUAAUGUCUGGGAAGCUGCCUGAUGGAGGGGGAUAACUACUGGAAACGGUAGCUAAUACCGCAUAAUGUCGCAAGACCAAAGAGGGGGACCUUCGGGCCUCUUGCCAUCGGAUGUGCCCAGAUGGGAUUAGCUUGUUGGUGGGGUAACGGCUCACCAAGGCGACGAUCCCUAGCUGGUCUGAGAGGAUGACCAGCCACACUGGAACUGAGACACGGUCCAGACUCCUACGGGAGGCAGCAGUGGGGAAUAUUGCACAAUGGGCGCAAGCCUGAUGCAGCCAUGCCGCGUGUAUGAAGAAGGCCUUCGGGUUGUACAGUACUUUCAGCGGGGAGGAAGGGAGUAAAGUUAAUACCUUUGCUCAUUGACGUUACCCGCAGAAGAAGCACCGGCUAACUCCGUGCCAGCAGCCGCGGUAAUACGGAGGGUGCAAGCGUUAAUCGGAAUUACUGGGCGUAAAGCGCACGCAGGCGGUUUGUUAAGUCAGAUGUGAAAUCCCCGGGCUCAACCUGGGAACUGCAUCUGAUACUGGCGAGCUUGAGUCUCGUAGAGGGGGGUAGAAUUCCAGGUGUAGCGGUGAAAUGCGUAGAGAUCUGGAGGAAUACCGGUGGCGAAGGCGGC
rnacentral:rRNA from 1 species